rnacentral:rRNA from 1 species
AACGUAGGGUCCGAGCGUUGUCCGGAAUUAUUGGGCGUAAAGAGCUCGUAGGCGGUUUGUCGCGUCUGCUGUGAAAUCCCGAGGCUCAACCUCGGGCCUGCAGUGGGUACGGGCAGACUGGAGUGCGGUAGGGGAGAAUGGAAUUCCUGGUGUAGCGGUGGAAUGCGCAGAUAUCAGGAGGAACACCGGUGGCGAAGGCGGGUCUCUGGGCCGAUAUUGACGCUGAGGAGCGAAAGCGUGGGGAGCGAACAGG